GUGCCAGCAGCCGCGGCGGUAAUACGGAGGGGGUUAGCGUUGUUCGGAAUUACUGGGCGUAAAGCGCGCGUAGGCGGAUUGGAAAGUUGGGGGUGAAAUCCCGGGGCUCAACCCCGGAACUGCCUUCAAAACUGACAGUCUAGAGUUCUGGAGAGGUGAGUGGAAUUCCGAGUGUAGAGGUGAAAUUCGUAGGUAUUCGGAGGAACACCAGUGGCGAAGGCGGCUCACUGGCCAGAUACUGACGCUGAGGUGCGAAAGUGUGGGGAGCAAACAGGAUUAGAUACCCUGGUAGUCCACACUG
rnacentral:rRNA from 1 species